rnacentral:lncRNA from 1 species
CAAAAGUGCAAAUAACCUUAAGACUUAAAACAGUAUGUUUCUUGUUCAACAGUGUAGAGAGAAAAAUAUUUAAUACAUUUAACGAACAAAAAACAUUUUAAAGACAUAUAGGUCGAGUCACGUUUAGUAUGUCAAAAUGGCAAAAAAAUGCAUUGAACGUCAUAAAUGUCAAUUAAAGUUGAGGUUAAGGUAACUACCAGGGUAUCAUAAUUUUUUA